GACGAACGCUGGCGGCGUGCUUAACACAUGCAAGUCGAACGGAAAGGCCCUGCUUUUGUGGGUUUCUCGAGUGGCGAACGGGUGAGUAACACGUGAGUAACCUGCCCUUGACUUUGUGAUAACUUCAGGAGACUGGGGCUAAUACCGGGUAGGAGCUCCUGCUGCAUGGUGGGGGUUGGAAAGUUUCGGCGGUUGGGGAUGGACUCGCGGCUUAUCAGCUUGUUUGUGUGGUAGUGGCUUACCAAGGGUUUGACGGGUAGCCGGACUGAGAGGGUGACCGGCCACAUUGGGACUGAGAUACGGCACAGACUCCUACGGGAGGCAGCAGUGGGGAAUCUUGAACAAUGGGCGGAAGCCUGAUGCAGAAACGCCGCGUGCGGGAUGACGGCCUUCGGGUUGUAAACCGCUUGCGCCUGUGACGAAGCGUGAGUGACGGUAAUGGGUAAAGAAGCACCGGCUAACUACGUG
rnacentral:rRNA from 1 species